UUCGCCGGGAGGAUUCCCUGCUGGCCGGGGGUGUCACGGUGCCCUUGGUAUUCGCUGGGUUCCUCCCCGCCCUUCCCCUAGGCAUAGGAUGGAUGGGUCUCGGGAAGCCCUCAGCAGCCAGCUGACCACUCCCAGCUGGGACAGACACUGGUGCCUGCGCUGCAUCUGCCCGGCUGCUUCCCUCAGAAACAGGGAUUAGUUCAUUUGAGCGAUCUCCCUCCUCCAGCUGGGCUAUCAGCUGUUCUUUGUUUCAGGAAGCAGCGUUUCUACAAUUGUCAGUAUCCUGAUCCAACAAGAAUCCCUAGCAUCCCUGUGCUGGUGACAUAAGUAGACCUUACGAUUGGUACUGGAAGAGGAAGCUAGUCUGGUGGGGGAAGUGAGACAGAGUAUCCAGCCGAUCAGAGCAGGAUUUGUGCCAAAUGAAAAUGCUAGAACUGUUCCAGGGCAUGCAGCAGUUUAACUCUUCAUCUGUCACAGCAAUGUGUAGGAGUCAAAUUAUAAGUAUAUUCAUAUUUGUGUAUAAUUAACAUCAAACAUGCAAUGGACGAAUUGAAACUGAACUUUCUCAAUUUCUGGAUGACUUUGUGUAGAGGGGAAUGUUAUUUUAAUUGUAGAAGAGUUGCAACUUGUAAUUGAAUUUCCUGAUGCUGUGCACUAGUAGUGUUCUCAAUUCUAAGCUCUAACUUCCGUAGUUAAUUUAUUUUUUAACAUGUACAGAUCUGUUAUAUUCCAAACAAUUCUUGGUAUAUUGAUUGAAUAAAGUUACAUAGGGAAAAGUUACCACCUUA